rnacentral:lncRNA from 1 species
GGCCACAGCAGGCAGGGGCUUGGCAGUGUGGGAGGAGACACCACAGAAGACAGGGAAGAACUACCAGGCCUUGGUUCAUCUCCACACUGGCGAGAGAGGAUGUGCAGGGAAGUAUCGGCUGCCAGAUAGGGAGCUGAGACUCCAAGAAGCUAAAUAAGGUGUCCAACACCACAGAGCAUGGAGCAAAGGACACGGGACUGCAAAUCUUCCUAACUCGUGUGCUCAUCUGGCUAUCUCACCAGGGCCUUAAAUUUAAUAUAUCCCAAACUGAACUCAUCUUUAUCCCUUCCCACUUUGCACUCCUCAAAUGUCCUUGUUUAAAAUAGUUACCUUUAUCUUUCCUAACCCAGAAACUCAAAACCUGGCAUCAUCUUUGACUUCUCUCUUUACCUUCACAUUCAACAGUUUCCAAGACUUAAAGGCUUUAUUUGUAGGAUCUCUACCACUGAUCCUCUACAGUUUCACACCUACAUCCCAUUCUCGUUCCCAAAUCCCCAUAACUCCUCUCCUGGCCCAUCCCUUAACACUGAAAUCCUGGCUUGGAAAAUAUGGUCACAUUCACAGCAGCUGUCCCCAAGAAGGAAGCCAAG